AGAGCGAAGCAGAUGAGGCUCCUGAGGUCCUACAGGAGAGACAGGAGAGAGUGGAACCAGGGACAGAGGUGGGACAAGAAGAAUCUGAGGACAGACAACAAGCAGCUGAUGUGGAGAGCACUGGACAGCAGCAGGACGGAGACUCCACAGAAAAUGGACCAAUGAGGGAGAAGAAGAGAAUGGAGAACGUUGCCCUGGUCAUCAAAAUACUGGAUGACAUAACUGACAUGGAUGAGGUCAAUGCAAUUCUGAAUGAGGCUGUAUCCAUUCUGAGACUCGCUAAAACUGCUAGUAUGACAGAACAAACUGAAAAGGAGAUGAAUCAGGAGGUGGUGGCUGCUCUUGACGACAUUUUGGACAAGGUUGACUCGGCUAUUAAUCUGCCUACCAAGGACCAUGAAAAUAAG
ensembl:lncRNA